AAAAAAAAAAUCAACAAGAAGAAGAGUUUCGACUCCCAACCGGUUGCACUGAAUGUGAUGGACUUCUGACCUGCUAUGGAGGCCUCCCAGCAUCUCCAUCAUCACCUUCGUCUCCCAAUGAGCUCAGGUCCAUCGCUAUAGCAACUGGUUGCCACGGGCGACGAGACACAGCCAGCGCCAGCGAGCAUCUUCCCCUCAGUUGUUGUCGAAAGGCAGGGAGAGAAGAGAGAAAGGCGAGGCGCCAGCAGAGCGGCUGAGAGAGACACUGAAGAGCUUUCUGUCUUGGCAAAGUAAAACCCGCCAAAUGUUCAGGAAGAUGUAAAAACAACAAGCGGAUCAAGUCACCCGGAUUGCUCUACCUCUGCUUCCGUCUCCGGAGAAGCUGCGAGAAGAUGGUAACAACUUGUUCACACAGGAAAGUGUCGCUUCAGCUCUCAGCAUCGUUGGAGUUCAGGUGGUGACCCCGACGCCAAAAAAAAAACAAAAAGCAACCAGCUGCACCGGCACCCGACGGCACCGCCGCCGCCGCCUCUGCAGGUCGAGACGCCGACGAUGUGUGCAGACGCAGCGGGGGAGCCUGCUGUCACCACUGAUUGUUUAUGCCGGAAAAUAACAACCAAACCUGAAACAGAGCAAGAGACAAACAGCGUAAAAAAACAAAACAAAACAAAACACGGAUGGACAGAUGGAGGGAUGAGGAGAGGCAUUGACACCAAAACACUUCCUGCCAUCAGAUAAAUAGAUUUUAUCAACAGUGAGAUGAGACGCAGAGAGAGUAAUUACAGCAGUGAAGUAAAGCGAGAUGAAGUGUGGAGAGACAGAAAACGAGUCCAGAGCCUGACAUUAGAAAGUGAGAGCAGAAAACAUUCAACACCCUGCUGUCACUUUCACACUCUGAAUGUCUUCAUGAGCAGUGGGAGACAAAGAAGCAAAUAAACGAAUAGAUAAGAUCAGAAGUGCUGUCAUCAAGCCUUAAUGUUGAACACGUUUCUGGCAUUAAAAAAAGCUGACGGUAAUAGAUGGUUCUCAUGAUUCUCACAAUAAGAAUCAUCUGGACGGCGGCCAUGUUUGCUCCGACUCCAGCUUUUUUCUGUCCACUAUUAGCUCAGCAAUCAUCCUCCUGCGUCUGGACGCAGCUGGGCGCCGCUCCCUCUGCGCCGGCUGCUAAAUUGAAAAGCGGAGAGCAGAAAAACGUCCUAAUGUUCGGGCCGCUGUCUGUCCUCCUCUCCCUGCUCCCGCGCUUCCUGUGGGCAGCGUUGGUCUCUUGCUUGCUCCUGUCCGGCUUACCUGCUGGGGCGACUUAUUGACGAGCUGUCAGGCGUCACUGUGGCAACAAUCACUUCCUCUAGUUAGAAACACAUUCAGUGGUUGAGCUGAAGCUCUUCAGACACUAAGGAGCAGCGGAAAUCGAUGUGGCUGCUGAUUAAUGCGCUGUUUAAUUACAUUUUAUUAAAACAGUGCAACCGGGACGCUGGAUCCUGUUACCUUGGAGAUGUAUUCAGUUACCAACAAGAUUUUUACAUUUUGUCGCCUUACAAGCACAAAAUUCAGCUUAUUGGAAAUAAUUCUACAAAAACAUUUUACUUUAUGUUACUGCGACAGAGUACCACACUAAUACCAGAAAUAAGUCAUAAUAUUGUAAUAAUAAAUUUG